rfam:Asian citrus Psyllid, Diaphorina citri - Florida Strain, whole genome shotgun sequence.
GCCUAGUUAGCGCGGAGGGUAGCGCGUCUGCCUUGUAAGCGCUAGGUCGCGGGUUCGAUUCCGCCCGGGGCA